CCUACGGGGGGCUGCAGUGGGGAAUAUUGGACAAUGGGGGCAACCCUGAUCCAGCCAUGCCGCGUGUGUGAAGAAGGCCCUCGGGUUGUAAAGCACUUUCAGUGAGGAAGAACGCCUGGUGGUUAAUACCCAUCAGGAAAGACAUCACUCACAGAAGAAGCACCGGCUAACUCCGUGCCAGCAGCCGCGGUAAUACGGAGGGUGCGAGCGUUAAUCGGAAUUACUGGGCGUAAAGCGCGCGUAGGUGGCUUGAUAAGCCGGUUGUGAAAGCCCCGGGCUCAACCUGGGAACGGCAUCCGGAACUGUCAAGCUAGAGUGCAGGAGAGGAAGGUAGAAUUCCCGGUGUAGCGGUGAAAUGCGUAGAGAUCGGGAGGAAUACCAGUGGCGAAGGCGGCCUUCUGGACUGACACUGACACUGAGGUGCGAAAGCGUGGGUAGCAAACGGGAUUAGAUACCCUAGUAGUC
rnacentral:rRNA from 1 species